rnacentral:rRNA from 1 species
UACAGAGGGUGCGAGCGUUAAUCGGAAUUAUUGGGCGUAAAGGGCGCGUAGGUGGUUAAUUAAGUUAGAUGUGAAAUCCCUGGGCUUAACCUAGGAACUGCAUUUAAUACUGAUUGACUAGAGUGUGGUAGAGGGUAGUGGAAUUUCCGGUGUAGCGGUGAAAUGCGUAGAUAUCGGAAGGAACACCAGUGGCGAAGGCGGCUACCUGGACUAACACUGACACUGAGGUGCGAGAGCGUGGGGAGCAAACAGG